AAACCAAGACUAAGAAAUGAGAGAGCAAUUUGUUUUUCCUCUUGUUUCUUUACAUAACUCCUUUUUUCUAUUAUUAUCUUGCAUAUAUCAACACUGGCAGGUGAUAGCAGAAUAGAUAUCACAUUUUUGCUUAGUCUGUCUUGUUUUCCAGAAUUUACUUCAAAAUUUCAAGUUCAUGAUUGUAGUUCAUUUUCUUUUAUUUCUAGAUACCAG
rnacentral:misc_RNA from 1 species